rnacentral:piRNA from 1 species
UUCAAGGUGACUUGGCUGGUGUGGUA